rnacentral:rRNA from 1 species
AGCGAACGCUGGCGGCAGGCUUAACACAUGCAAGUCGAGCGGGCAUCCUUGUGGUGUCAGCGGCAGACGGGUGAGUAACGCGUGGGAACGUGCCCUUCGGUUCGGAAUAACUCAGGGAAACCUGAGCUAAUACCGGAUACGUGCGAGAGCAGAAAGGUUUAUCUGCCGAAGGAUCGGCCCGCGUCUGAUUAGCUAGUUGGUGAGGUUACGGCUCACCAAGGCGACGAUCAGUAGCUGGUCUGAGAGGAUGAUCAGCCACACUGGGACUGAGACACGGCCCAGACUCCUACGGGAGGCAGCAGUGGGGAAUAUUGGACAAUGGGGGCAACCCUGAUCCAGCCAUGCCGCGUGAGUGAUGACGGCCUUAGGGUUGUAAAGCUCUUUUCUCCGGGACGAUAAUGACGGUACCGGAGGAAUAAGCCCCGGCUAACUUCGUG